CGGACCGAAAUAAACUGACGGACCGAACCGAAAAAUCGAGAACCGAAUUAACCGAAAACCAAAAAAACUGAAAAACACUAAUUUUGCUGUUUUUUGUGCGGUUCGGUUUGGUUUUCGGUUUUGACUCUGAAAACCCUAACCGAACCGAACCGAACCGGUUCGGAAAAAACCAUAAAAAUGCCUAACCCCACCCCCCAAACGAGCAAAGGUUGCUGCGCGAGUGUGAGAGCGCCCCCCAGCCGUCCCUAACCCUAACCCCCCAAAUUCCCAAUCCCUAACCUGCGGCUGCGCUCUCUACUCUCUAGUCUCUACUACCCAGUCGCUCUCGCUCUCUCUUCUCCAAAUCCCCAAAGCACGACGCCACCCACAGCACCACGCCGAAGCCUUUCUCUUCGCGGAGACGCCUCCCACAGCACGACGCCGUCGCCGUUGAGACGCCACCACCCAGCGCCAGCAGUGUUUCUGAGUUCUCCCACUUAGCGCCAGUAGCCCACUAUCAUCAGUUCAACCCACUCCCAGCACGGCAGCACCUCCGAGUCUCCCAGUCAGCCUUCCUCCCAAGUCAACAUGGAGCCCGAGUCACCGAUUCAGAUCACGAAUAGCAGUUGCCCCACUGGAACCGUUGAAGAUUUUGCUACAGGUCCAGAAUCCUCAUAACAUUAAAUACAAUGGAACUGUCCAAGGCCUAAAAUAUAUAUGGAGAACUGAAGGUUUUCGUGGACUGUUCAAAGGGAAUGGUACUAAUUGUGCUCGGAUACACCUAACUCUGCAGUGAAGUUCUUCAGUUAUGAGCAAGCUUCUAAGUUAGUUUUACUUUAGAAGCAAAGGAAUGAUUGGCUGAUUGUUCUUUUAUUCGACAUUAUUUUUGUUGGCAUACUAUUCAAAGUGGAGCAUUUUGCAAAUCAACUUUAAAUGAUAGUAGAAGGGGGGCGCUGUUGGGAAUAAUACACCAUUCCCCCUU